GACGAACGCUGGCGGCGUGCCUAAUACAUGCAAGUCGAACGCAGUGGGGACGGGUGAGUAACACGUGGGUAACCUCCCAUCAGAGGGGAUAACACUUGGAAACAGGUGCUAAACCGAUACUGAUGGAUGGACCCGCGGUGCAUUAGCUAGUGGGUGAGGUAACGGCGCACCAAGGCCACGAUGCAUAGCUGACCUGAGAGGGGGAUCGACCACACUGUGACGGAGAAACGGCCCAGACUCCUACGGGAGGCAGCAGUAGGGAAUCUUCGGCAAUGGACGAAAGUCUGACCGAGCAAAGCCGCGUGAGUGAAGAAGGUUUUCGGAUCGUAAAACUCUGUGGUGAGCGAAGCGGUAUCUAAACAGAAAGCAACGGCUAACUACGUGCCAGCAGCCGCGGUAAUAC
rnacentral:rRNA from 1 species